GACAGAGGUGCCGAGCGUUAGGCGGAAUCACUGGGCUUAAAGCGUGUGUAGGCGGACCGUUAAGUACCUUGUGAAAUCCCCCGGCUCAACCGGGGAACGGCUGGGUAUACUGGCGGUCUUGAGCCAUCCAGGGGCAGUCGGAACAGACGGUGGAGCGGUGAAAUGCGUAGAUAUCAUCUGGAACGCCGAAGGUGAAAACAGACUGCUGGGGAUGCGCUGACGCUGAGACACGAAAGCCAGGGGAGCGAACGGG
rnacentral:rRNA from 1 species